UGGCGCACCACUUCACCCUUCUACCGGAUUUUCCGGCAGGAGGGUUUUUCUUUUACCUCGUGAACCCCUUGCCAUG
rnacentral:tRNA from 1 species